CAGGGAGACAACAAAAUGUUUAAUAUUAUUAUUUUGUCACCUUAGGUCGAUCGGUAUCUCACGUUCUUAAUUUAUUAAGAAUUUCAUUUCCUAAGUUUUUCUAGGUCACACCCAUUAUUUUCCUGGGCCAUUAGCUCAGGUGGUUAGAGCGCACCCCUGAUAAGGGUGAGGUCCCUGGUUCAAGUCCAGGAUGGCCCAUAUCUCUAUGUUGGGGGUAUAGCUCAGUUGGUAGAGCGCCUGCUUUGCAAGCAGGAUGUCAGCGGUUCGAGUCCGCUUACCUCCACUGAUUACCACCUCUUCCAUAAUUUAUAGAAAGGAAAAUUUUUGAGUUGUGAUCAUUAUUCUGAACGAAUCUAGCUUCCUAAUGAAGUCAUUAAGAUGCUGGACUCAUUGAAUUAAUUUCAUUGUUUUCAGAGAACCUUGACAACUGCAUAGAUUAUUUUUAAAGACAAUAAGCAUCUUUUAAUGAUGCAGAUUUAUUAUUUGUGCAAAUGCAUUAAUAACAAUUCUAUUGAGCUGAUGCUUCAAUUUUGAAGUUAUU
rnacentral:tRNA from 1 species